GUAAGGGAUAUUGCACAAUGGGCGCAAGCCUGAUGCAGCAACGCCGCGUGGAGGAUGACGGCCUUCGGGUUGUAAACUUCUUUUAGUGGGGACGAGGAAGGACGGUACCCACUGAAUCAGUCACGGCUAACUACGUGCCAGCAGCCGCGGUAAAACGUAGGUGGCAAGCGUUAUCCGGAUUUACUGGGCGUAAAGGGUGUGCAGGCGGGAGUACAAGUGGUGUAUGAAAUCUCCAGGCUUAACCUGGAGGGGUUAUGCCAGACUGUGCUUCUAGAGGACGAGAGAGGGGGGUGGAAUUCCGGGUGUAGUGGUGAAAUGCGUAGAGAUCCGGAGGAACCCCAGAGGCGAAGGCGGCCCCCUGGCUCGUACCUGACGCUCAGCCACGAAAGCAUGGGGAGCGAACGGGAUUAGAAACCCUUGUAGUCC
rnacentral:rRNA from 1 species